rfam:Trichomalopsis sarcophagae strain Alberta scaffold3137, whole genome shotgun sequence.
GCAGACGUUAGCUCAGUGGUCAGAGCACAAGUCUCGCGCUCUCGGGUCCGCGGGUUCGAUUCCCGUCGUCUAUA